AUUGAUACCUCGAUGGCGGUUCUCUGCAGAACAGGUUUGAUUCCCUGAGGAACCACGAAGACGUUGGCCUCCCUCUGAGGCGGCGGGUGCGGAAGGUCCGACUCCUCCGGCUGCCGAGAGAAAACGUAGGACGGCGGUUUUCAGAGAGGAAUCCUGGAAACAUCAACUGAGGAAGCGACAUCGAAGAAAAAAAGAGACGAAGAACGCUGGUGGACGUCAUGAUGUCUCCCUGCAGGUGAGACGGGAACAGACACGUUCGAUUUUAAAGGAUGACGAUGAAUAAAAGCAGGAAGUGUGAGAUAAAUCCACCAAACGUUACGAUUCACUGACCUCUUGAC